UCCUCUAUUGAAAAUGCAUUAAUAAAAUUGUCUUUUGAGUUUUUUCAUACACAAACGUAGUUAGUUGUCUCUUAUUCUGAUCACGUUAUAAUCAUUUAUUUAUUUAUCAUGAUUUAAGUCCAUUAACCUUUGUAAACUGACAGCAAUAAGUUGGUUUAUCCUGACUAAAGGCUUCAUACGGACCACCCUGCAUAUGUACGUGUAGGUAACGAAAGAAGACGCCAGAACGGGAAAAGCUUAACAAAAGCAAGUUCACUGUUGGAACAAUUGUCUUUUUUAUAAUUAUUAUGUAUUAUUAUUAUUAUUAUAAUUUUGCAUGGAUUUUUAUGAUGUUCGCCCCAAACCAUAUUUUUGUUUUACUUUAUAUUUGUUAGAAGCUUUGUUUAAUGAAAAUGCUUGUGAUUUCUGUUGACUGUCUGUGUGUGCCGGUGCAACGUGACAGAGAGUUCCCCAUAACACAGUCUGCUUCCCGUUCAUUUGUACAGACGAGACUUGCCCUAGAUUUUGACCCACUUAGAUCAGACUAACCCUAACCAUUAUAACUAUAUGAAGGGCGGACUUUCUGUUAUACGGACCCUCAGUUUCGUUACACCGGCUUCAGUAUUUAGUUUUUUUAAUGAGAUUUUUAAAGAACUUCUCAACGGAAUGUAUAUGAAGACCAUUGUAUGAUCAACGUGGUUAUUGUCAUUGUUACUUUGUUCCAUUUGUUUGUAAUGUAUAUUUGACAGUUUUUCUGUCUAACUUCCAAGUACACCAAGCCACCCUUCUCUAAAGCACCUUAAGCUUUUGUCACUUAGUUCACUUAAAAGCUUAAAUGAAAAAUAAAUGAAGUCCAAGUAUGUUGGAUCCACAAUGGCUGGCGAUGUAAUUUUUUUUCCAAACCGACAAAACAUUUAUGGAAAAUACAUGUCAUUUUUUUUACUCGAAAAUGUUCAAAUACGAGAUUUUUCAUGAAAAACGUAAUAUUAGAAAUAUUUUUCAAUUGAUUGUUAUGCCGAUUAAGCUGAAUCGCCAGAUCUCAUUAUUUGAUUUCAGAAUUAGUCUCUAAGUUACGGUAUUGUUUAACCAGUGUUGUCCAGAAAAUAUUUACUCUGCGGCUUUGAAUUGGUUGACUUGUAUUAUCGGUAUUACAGCGGGCGAGGCAGUUCGUCAGUUUCAGGAAAGAUAGUGGACGGAGAAAAUCUUAGGAAUAACGAAAUAAAUUAUUAAAGCGCAUCAGUUUUUAGGAUGGAGCAGAAAUCAGUGGUUGUCACACAACCUGGUCACGUGGGGGCCCCUCAUAUGCCACAAAACGUCCGUUCUUGGUCUACAGGACUCUGUGGCUGUGGUUCCGACUGUAAAAGCUGCUGCUGUGCCAUAUGCUGUUUGCCCUGCAUGCUCUGCUCCUUGGCUACACGCAUGGAUGAGAACUGCUGCCUGCCAUUCUGCUGUGGACCACCCGGCAUUGCCGCUAUGAGGACAAAGCUUAGAACCAUGCAUGGGAUAGAGGGAUCUAUUUGCGGCGAUUUAUGUGCCACAGGGCUUUGUGGAUUGUGCGUGGCUUGCCAGCUGUCCAGAGAGAUGGACCACGUUGGGAUGUAAAAUUCUUACAUAAUUGCAUAACAGCAUAUAGAUUACGUCAUGAAAAGUAGAGGAAUCGUAUGGAGCAUACUGAAAUUAUAAUGGAUCAUAUCUGGAAACCUCCAAUCGAAGUUUAUACAUUAAACUUUUUAUACAUUUAAUUUUUUAUUUUUGUCGUAUCUAAAAUGGAGCAAUGUGCCGUGCAAAGUUUCUCAAAAAUAUAAUAGUGUGAAAACUAAUAGCAAU